rnacentral:rRNA from 1 species
CAGCAGCCGCGGUAAUACGUAGGUGGCAAGCGUUGUCCGGAUUUAUUGGGUUUAAAGGGUGCGUAGGCGGCCUUAUAAGUCAGUGCUGAAAUAUCCCGGCUUAACCGGGAGGGUGGCAUUGAUACUGUAGGGCUUGAGUGGAAUUGAGGUUGGCGGAAUUGACGGUGUAGCGGUGAAAUGCUUAGUUAUCGUCAAGAACACCGAUAGCGAAGGCAGCUAACUAAACUCUAACUGACGCUGAAGCACGAAAGUGUGGGGAUCAAACAGGAUUAGAUACCCUGGUAGUCCACACUGUAAACGUUGAUCACUCGCUGUGUGCGAUAUACAGUACGCGGCUUAGCGAAAGCGAUAAGUGAUCCACCUGGGGAGUACGCCGGCAACGGUGAAACUCAAAGGAAAGCCG